rnacentral:rRNA from 1 species
UACAGAGGGUGCGAGCGUUAAUCGGAAUUACUGGGCGUAAAGCGUGCGUAGACGGUUACAUAAGUCGGGUGUGAAAGCCCCGGGCUCAACCUGGGAAUUGCAUUCGAGACUGCGUAGCUAGGGUGCGGAAGAGGGAAGCGGAAUUUCCGGUGUAGCGGUGAAAUGCGUAGAUAUCGGAAGGAACACCAGUGGCGAAAGCGGCUUCCUGGUCCAGCACCGACGUCAGGCACGAAGC